rnacentral:rRNA from 1 species
UACAGAGGUCUCAAGCGUUGUUCGGAUUCAUUGGGCGUAAAGGGUGCGUAGGCGGCGCGGUAAGUCGGGUGUGAAAUCUCGGAGCUUAACUCCGAAACUGCAUUCGAUACUGCCGUGCUCGAGGACUGGAGAGGAGACUGGAAUUUACGGUGUAGCAGUGAAAUGCGUAGAUAUCGUAAGGAAGACCAGUGGCGAAGGCGGGUCUCUGGACAGUUCCUGACGCUGAGGCACGAAGGCCAGGGGAGCAAACGGG